rnacentral:rRNA from 1 species
GGGACAACAGCUAGAAAUGGCUGCUAAUACCGCAUAAGCCUACAGCCUCGCAUGAGGGAGUAGGAAAAGAAAUUCGGUGCAGGAUGAGUCCGCGUCUGAUUAGCUAGUUGGAGGGGUAAAAGCCCACCAAGGCAACGAUCAGUAGCCGGCCUGAGAGGGCGACCGGCCACAUUGGGACUGAGACACGGCCCAAACUCCUACGGGAGGCAGCAGUGGGGAAUAUUGCACAAUGGGGGAAACCCUGAUGCAGCGACGCCGCGUGAGCGAGGAAGUAUUUCGGUAUGUAAAGCUCUAUCAGCAGGGACGAAAAAAGACGGUACCUGACUAAGAAGCCCCGGCUAACUACGUGCCAGCAGCCGCGGUAAUACGUAGGGGGCAAGCGUUAUCUGGAUUUACUGGGUGUAAAGGGAGCGUAGACGGCAAGGCAAGCCAGAAGUGAAAGGGCAGGGCUCAACCCUGUACAUGCUUUUGGAACUGUGGUGCUAGAGUGCAGGAGAGGUAAGUGGAAUUCCUAGUGUAGCGGUGAAAUGCGUAGAUAUUAGGAGGAACACCAGUGGCGAAGGCGGCUUACUGGACUGUAACUGACGUUGAGGCUCGAAAGCGUGGGGAGCAAACAGGAUUAGAUACCCUGGUAGUCCACGCUGUAAAC